rnacentral:tRNA from 1 species
CGCGGAGUACACUGGAGUCGUAAAGCCGCCAGGGACGGGCUCAUAAUCCGUCGACGCAGGUUCAAGUCCUGUCUCCGCAACCA